rnacentral:rRNA from 1 species
ACAUUUGAGUGAGUGGCGAACUGGUGAGUAACACGUGGGAAACCUGCCCAGAAGCGGGGGAUAACACCUGGAAACAGAUGCUAAUACCGCAUAACAACUUGGACCGCAUGGUCCGAGUUGAAAGAUGGCUUCGGCUAUCACUUUUGGAUGGUCCCGCGGCGUAUUAGCUAGAUGGUGGGUAACGGCUCACCAUGGCAAUGAUACGUAGCCGACCUGAGAGGGUAAUCGGCCACAUUGGGACUGAGACACGGCCCAAACUCCUACGGGAGGCAGCAGUAGGGAAUCUUCCACAAUGGACGAAAGUCUGAUGGAGCAACGCCGCGUGAGUGAAGAAGGGUUUCGGCUCGUAAAACUCUGUUGUUAAAGAAGAACAUAUCUGAGAGUAACUGUUCAGGUAUUGACGGUAUUUAACCAGAAAGCCACGGCUAACUACGUGCCACAGCCGCGGUAAUACGUAGGUGGCAAGCGUUGUCCGGAUUUAUUGGGCGUAAAGCGAGCGCAGGCGGUUUUUUAAGUCUGAUGUGAAA